GGCGGACGGGUGAGUAACACGUGGGUAACCUACCCAUCAGAGGGGGAUAACACUUGGAAACAGGUGCUAAUACCGCAUAACAGUUUAUGCCGCAUGGCAUAAGAGUGAAAGGCGCUUUCGGGUGUCGCUGAUGGAUGGACCCGCGGUGCAUUAGCUAGUUGGUGAGGUAACGGCUCACCAAGGCCACGAUGCAUAGCCGACCUGAGAGGGUGAUCGGCCACACUGGGACUGAGACACGGCCCAGACUCCUACGGGAGGCAGCAGUAGGGAAUCUUCGGCAAUGGACGAAAGUCUGACCGAGCAACGCCGCGUGAGUGAAGAAGGUUUUCGGAUCGUAAAACUCUGUUGUUAGAAAAGAACAAGGACGUUAGUAACUGAACGUCCCCUGACGGUAUCUAACCAGAAAGCCACGGCUAACUACGUGCCAGCAGCCGCGGUAAUACGUAGGUGGCAAGCGUUGUCCGGAUUUAUUGGGCGUAAAGCGAGCGCAGGCGGUUUCUUAAGUCUGAUGUGAAAGCCCCCGGCUCAACCGGGGAGGGUCAUUGGAAACUGGGAGACUUGAGUGCAGAAGAGGAGAGUGGAAUUCCAUGUGUAGCGGUGAAAUGCGUAUAUAUAUGGAGGAACACCAGUGGGCGAAGGGCGGCUCUCUGGUCUGUAACUGACUCUGAGGCUCGAAAGCGUGGGGAGCAAACAAGAUUAGAUACCCUGGUAGUCCACGCCGUAAACGAUGAGUGCUAAGUGUUGGAGGGUUUCCGCCCUUCAGUGCUGCAGCAAACGCAUUAAGCACUCCGCCUGGGGAGUACGACCGCAAGGUUGAAACUCUAAAGGAAUUGAGGGGGGCCCGCACAAGCGGUGGAGCAUGUGGUUUAAUUUGAAGCAACGCGAAGAACCUUACCAGGUG
rnacentral:rRNA from 1 species